rnacentral:rRNA from 1 species
UCCUGGCUCAGGAUGAACGCUAGCUACAGGCUUAACACAUGCAAGUCGAGGGGCAGCAUUGGGAUAGCUUGCUAUUCAGAUGGCGACCGGCGCACGGGUGAGUAACGCGUAUCCAACCUUCCUGCCAGUAGGGAACAGCCCGGCGAAAGUCGGAUUAAUGCCCUAUGUUCUUCAAUGCGGACAUCUAAGUUGAAGGAAAGAUUCAUCGCUGGCAGAUGGGGAUGCGUCCGAUUAGCUUGCCGGCGGGGUAACGGCCCACCGGGGCGACGAUCGGUAGGGGUUCUGAGAGGAAGGUCCCCACACUGGUACUGAGACACGGACCAGACUCCUACGGGAGGCAGCAGUGAGGAAUAUUGGUCAAUGGGCGUAAGCCUGAACCAGCCAAGUAGCGUGCAGGAAUGACGGCCCUACGGGUUGUAAACUGCUUUUAUGCGGGGAUAAAGUGCGGCACGUGUGCCGCUUUGCAGGUACCGCAUGAAUAAGGACCGGCUAAUUCCGUGCCAGCAGCCGC